GGUCCGAAUUGAAGUACAGUAGGUCAGUACAAUCAGCUGACCCUACUAAACUACACUACUUCAAGUUUGUGCCC
rnacentral:pre_miRNA from 1 species